UGACCUCUGACCUCAAAUCAGGUAGGACUACCCGCUGAACUUAAGCAUAUCAAUAAGCGGAGGAAAAGGAAACCAACCA
rnacentral:rRNA from 1 species